rnacentral:rRNA from 1 species
AUUGAACGCUGGCGGCAUGCCUUACACAUGCAAGUCGAACGGCAGCACGGACUUCGGUCUGGUGGCGAGUGGCGAACGGGUGAGUAAUGUAUCGGAACGUACCUUUCAGUGGGGGAUAACGUAGCGAAAGUUACGCUAAUACCGCAUAUUCUGUGAGCAGGAAAGCAGGGGAUCGCAAGACCUUGCGCUGAUUGAGCGGCCGAUAUCAGAUUAGCUAGUUGGUGGGGUAAAGGCCUACCAAGGCUACGAUCUGUAGCGGGUCUGAGAGGAUGAUCCGCCACACUGGAACUGAGACACGGUCCAGACUCCUACGGGAGGCAGCAGUGGGGAAUUUUGGACAAUGGGGGCAACCCUGAUCCAGCCAUGCCGCGUGAGUGAAGAAGGCCUCGGUUGUAAGACUCUUUCGGUCCGGGACGGAAAUACGCAUAGGCGUAAUACCCUCGUGUGGAGUGACGGUACCGGAAGUAAGAAGACACCGGCGUAACUACGUGCCAGC